rnacentral:rRNA from 1 species
CAUUGUCGAAUCCUGCGAAACAGAAUGUCCCGCGAACGGUUGAAUUUGAACCAUUUUCGAUGGGGAACCUCGACGGCUACUAGCAUCGCCGAGGCGUCUCGAUCAAAACCAAAAAACCCGGCGCGGCCCGCGCCAAGGAAUUUUUAAAGGAAAGAACGCGUCGGGACCGACAAAUCACCCCGGCGACGUCAAUUUCUAGUGAUUGUUGAACGACUCUCGGCAACGGAUAUCUCGGCUCUCGCAUCGAUGAAGAACGUAGCGAAAUGCGAUACUUGGUGUGAAUUGCAGAAUCCCGUGAACCAUUGAGUUUUUGAACGCAAGUUGCGCCCGAGGCCAUUUGGUCGAGGGCACGUCUGCCUGGGCGUCACGCAAACGCCGCUCUCAUCCCCUUUGGUGCAAGAGCGAAUGAUGGCCCCCCGCGACUCGGUUCGCGGCCGGCUGAAAUAGCUUGCCUUCUCGUGGCUUCACGACACGAUUGAUGGUGGUUGAGAAAACCCUCCGUUGCGAUCGAACAACGUGAUCGGAAGCACGGGGCGAACAAACCCUUUCAUCACACGCGACCUCAGGUCAGGCGGGG